GAUGAACGCUGGCGGCGUGCUUAACACAUGCAAGUCGAACGAAGCAUAUAAGGCGGAAUUCUUCGGGAGGAAGCCGUAUAUGACUUAGUGGCGGACGGGUGAGUAACGCGUGAGUAACCUGCCUUACACAGGGGGACAACAGCUGGAAACGGCUGCUAAUACCGCAUAAGCGCACAGGACCGCAUGGUACGGUGUGAAAAGAUUUAUCGGUGUAAGAUGGACUCGCGUCUGAUUAGUUAGUUGGCGGGGUAACGGCCCACCAAGACAACGAUCAGUAGCCGACUUGAGAGAGUGAUCGGCCACAUUGGGACUGAGACACGGCCCAA
rnacentral:rRNA from 1 species